UUUCCCCCAAAAUUUUCUCACAUCGAAAUUCGAAAUCGCCUUACAAAGAAAUCCGAUGGCGCGAAAAAAGCGCUAGUCUCCUUCUCCAAUUUUUAUCGGGGAACUGCAAGAUUGAGAUCGAUGGGGAUAGUUAUGCCUGUGAAUCGAUUGAUGAAGCUCUUCUCAUUUCGGUGCCCAAUGCAGCAAAGAUAGUGGAGGAGCUCGGAGGUUUUGUUACAGGUCAUGGAAGUUCUUGUACACGUGAUUACAGGGAAAGCAAGGAAAACUUUGAACUUUUGCGUAGCUUUAUCCUCUGGGUUAGUAUUAUUUCCUACUAUUCAAACUAAAACAAAAUUUAUGUUACGUAUAUUCUUUUGUUACUUGAAUCCAAGAGUAGGCUACCGCACCAAAUGUAAUGAACACACAAACACAAGGGGGAAAAAAGAAAGUGGAUGAAAGUUAGUGCAGGUGAAUCACCAUUCAUUCUAGAAGAUGAAGAUUAUUUGCUCAAGUAUAAGUUUGAACUGAGAGAUGCAGUUGAGAGAGCGAAAUUGAAACCACACUCGUUGUUCAAAGGAUAUAAUAUCCGUCUUGCUAAGCGUAUCCAGCAGUCUGUGGAUGUUCUUUCAUCCAUCAGUAAAGCAACUGGUGGCAAGGUAAGCAUUAUUAUCUCUGUAGCAUCAUCUUGGCUGGUUCCAUAUAUUUAUUCUCUACGGUUGUGUGUAGACUUUACUGUAGAUGAUACUUUUAAUGCUGCAUUUGGGUGAUCUGUUCAUUUGUUUAAUUUAUAAUUAAAUACAAGUUAAUAUUAACAGGAGAAAACAUCAAAAUUGUCAAAAUUAGACAGUUGAUGAUGCUUCUAUUUUGUCUCUUGCUGUUGUGUAGAAUUGCUCACUCAGUCUUUGUUGGAGCAACAAGGGUCACAUUUGUUUCUAUGGUCUGCAACUUUCUUUGUAGGCUGAAUGUUGGACUUCAUUGCAAUGUAUGCGUGGAGUCUUCUGGCAAAUCACCAAUGGAAAAUUGUUUACGUGUAUCAGUGGAACUAAAUAAAGAUGCUAAGCAUUUAUAAUCUAGCACAGCGGGGAAAAUCCUUAAGCAGGGAGGAAACAUCAUAUGAAAGGGCUAUAAGAUGUUAGUAUGGACAAUUUGAAAUUUCCACUAACAGAAGCAUAGUCUUCUUCAGAUAAACACUGGAACAACUACCACUGCAUUGGCUUCUGCAGUUAAUGUUCACAAUAUGGAGCUCUGCAAAAGUUAUCAGGUUAUAAGUCCUGCCAUUUAGGUAUCCUGGCACUCGGCUCAAUUUUCAGUGCAUCAAGUGAUACACACAGUCUUCACCAUUACCUGGACUUGACAUUUCUUAAUUUGGUUCACCAACACAGUAAUCAAAACAAAGGAUAAAUUACACUAAACCCCCAAUAAACAAAGGAUAAAUUACACUAAACCCCUACUAAUUUCUUUGGAGUAAAUUACACUAAGCCCACAGUAACUUUGAAAAUGUCUUUUAUAAUUUAUGGGUGUUAUCUGCAAAGUGCAAAAAACUCAUUGGGGCCUUUUUGCGAAACGUAAAAGUUAUUGGUGGUAUUUGUGUGAUUUUGGAAGUUAUUGGGGGUUUACUGUAAAUUCCUCAAAGUUCUCGGGGGUUUAAUGUAGUUUAUCCCAAAACCAAAGCCACUAACACUUCUAAUUAACCAAAGGGAAUCUGACUUAAAGUGUGAAUUACUAAUUUGCAAGGUAGCUGCAAAGAAAGGUGUAUGGACAUUUAGCAAUGACUGGUUUAUGAGCCGUGUUAUGAGACAAGAGCUUGAUGUGGAGGCUCCUCAGUUUGCAGAGUCCCUUUAGCUGCAGAUUUAUGUAAACCAUAACGUUUAUUGGUGGUUCAUGCUCAUAAUUUUGGAUAAAUAAAUACAGGUUAAUUAUCAUAUUUACUUGUAUGU